rnacentral:rRNA from 1 species
UACGUAGGGUGCAAGCGUUAAUCGGAAUUACUGGGCGUAAAGCGUGCGCAGGCGGUUUUGUAAGUCUGUCGUGAAAUCCCCGGGCUCAACCUGGGAAUUGCGAUGGAGACUGCAAGGCUAGAAUCUGGCAGAGGGGGGGGUAGAAUUCCACGUGUAGCAGUGAAAUGCGUAGAGAUGUGGAGGAACACCGAUGGCGAAGGCAGCCCCCUGGGUUAACACUGACGCUCAGGCACGAAAGGCGUGGGAGCAAACAGG